AUAUUUCAUGUCAUAUUACGCCGAUAUCAAACAAUUUAAUUUGUCAAGAGACAAUAUAAUCAUCUAACGACCAGUCGCACUGCUACUGCCCACAGCCUCCUACUAUACUUCAAUUUUGUGCCUUUAUGAAAAAAAUAUCAUUGGUAAGAUUUGAAAAUACUGUUUUCACGGUGACGCAAUAUUCGUGUAUGUAAACUAAAGGUGCGACAUAUUCUUCUUUAAAAACUUUCAGAUAAACUUUGAAAGGCAAUAUUUGGACUGUACAAUCAUCAUCAAAAAUAACAAUAAUGACAGCGAUCUUUCGAAUCUGGUUUGUUAGAAUAACACUUCUAAUCAUGAGCGCCUCCGCCAUACCAGUAUACGACUACCAAAGACCGGGUUAUUACGAUGCUUUGGAGGAAUUUCUUCCACAAAAAAGAACCUAUAGUAGAUUCUUUCGAAUCGGAAAAUCUCAAGAGAGUCACUCGCCGAGCAUGGAUGAUGUGUUUAUCAAUAGAGUUGGCAAUAUGUUGCAUAGACAAGAUUAUAUUCCCGAUCUAAUUGCCAAAGAACAAAGGGUCGGAUUUAAUAUGGGAGGAAACACCGAUGAUAAUAUACAGGAUCAGUUUUUGGACAACGAUUCAGAAGAGCCACUAAGUCCGUCUAAAAGAGGGAUGUUUCGAUUUGGUAAAAUGCCCUAUUUCAUGAGAAACGGAAGGACCUUUCUUCGGACGUAUUACGACAAACCCGAUUCGACAGCUACCACAAAAUCUCAAUUCUGGAGAAUUGGUUGAAUUUUCACAAAGAAAUUUCUCUUAGAAAUUUGAACAGUUUAAAAAAUCAGGCCUUCAACUUUUUUGUAAACUGGAAAUUUUAAUAAAGUCCUUUAAGUUAA